UACGAAGGGGGCGAGCGUUGUUCGGAAUUACUGGGCGUAAAGGGCGCGCAGGCGGCUCAGACAGUCAGAUGUGAAAGCCCCGGGCUUAACCUGGGAAUGGCAUUUGGGACUGCAAGGCUUGAGUGCGGCAGAGGAGACUGGAAUUCCUGGUGUAGCAGUGAAAUGCGUAGAUAUCAGGAGGAACACCGAUGGCGAAGGCAGGUCUCUGGGCUGACACUGACGCUCAUGCACGAAAGCGUGGGGAGCAAACAGG
rnacentral:rRNA from 1 species